rnacentral:rRNA from 1 species
AUUGAACGCUGGCGGCAUGCCUUACACAUGCAAGUCGAACGGCAGCAUGGGUGCUUGCACCUGAUGGCGAGUGGCGAACGGGUGAGUAAUGCAUCGGAACGUACCCGGAAGUGGGGGAUAACGUAGCGAAAGUUACGCUAAUACCGCAUAUUCUGUGAGCAGGAAAGCGGGGGAUCGCAAGACCUCGCGCUUCCGGAGCGGCCGAUGUCGGAUUAGCUAGUUGGCGGGGUAAAGGCCCACCAAGGCAACGAUCCGUAGCGGGUCUGAGAGGAUGAUCCGCCACACUGGGACUGAGACACGGCCCAGACUCCUACGGGAGGCAGCAGUGGGGAAUUUUGGACAAUGGGCGCAAGCCUGAUCCAGCCAUGCCGCGUGAGUGAAGAAGGC